rnacentral:rRNA from 1 species
CUGAGGGCGUUAUAUGCUGUCGAGCGAACAGACAAGGAGCUUGCUCCUUUGACGUUAGCGGCGGACGGGUUAGUAACACGUGGAUAACCUACCUAUAAGACUGGGAUAAUUUCGGGAAACCGGAGCUAAUACCGGAUAAUAUUUUGAACCGCAUGGUUCAUUAGUGAAAGACGGUUUUGCUGUCACUUAUAGAUGGAUCCGCGCCGCAUUAGCUAGUUGGUAAGGUAACGGCUUACCAAGGCAACGAUGCGUAGCCGACCUGAGAGGGUGAUCGGCCACACUGGAACUGAGACACGGUCCAGACUCCUACGGGAGGCAGCAGUAGGGAAUCUUCCGCAAUGGGCGAAAGCCUGACGGAGCAACGCCGCGUGAGUGAUGAAGGUCUUCGGAUCGUAAAACUCUGUUAUUAGGGAAGAACAUAUGUGUAAGUAACUAUGCACGUCUUGACGGUACCUAAUCAGAAAGCCACGGCUAACUACGUGCCAGCAGCCGCGGUAAUACGUAGGUGGCAAGCGUUAUCCGGAAUUAUUGGGCGUAAAGCGCGCGUAGGUGGUUUUUUAAGUCUGAUGUGAAAACCCACGGCUCAACCGUGGAGGGUCAUUGGAAACUGGAAACUUGAGUGCAGAAGAGGAAAGUGGAAUUCCAUGUGUAGCGGUGAAAUGCGCAGAGAUAUGGAGGAACACCAGUGGCGAAGGCGACUUUCUGGUCUGUAACUGACGCUGAUGUGCGAAAGCGUGGGGAAUAAACAGGAUUAGAUACCCUGGUAGUCCACGCCGUAAACGAUGAGUGCUAAGUGUUAGGGGGUUUCCGCCCCUUAGUGCUGCAGCUAAACAGCUAUUA